rnacentral:lncRNA from 1 species
UUGGAUAAUCGGAAAACUUAGCAAUUAUACACAUGCCAUAUUUAAUGUUGAUGAUGAUGAAAUGAAAGAGGUAGCACGAUGCCUAGAUACACACUUUAGACGUUAGGUUUAAUAUGUUGUAUCGAAUUUUGGUUAGGUUGGUUUGUUAUUUUGAUUAAACUUGUUGUUAUUUGGGAUCUUGUAUUGAUGACUACUUGAAGUUUGGA